rnacentral:lncRNA from 1 species
UGACAAGAAAUAAUUGGCUUGUGAGAAUCAACAUUGAAGCUGGAAAAAUGAUGGCAUCCGAACAAGUAGACACAGCCCUAGUCAAGGCAAUAAACUACACUAAAGACAGAGGAGAAAGACUCAAAGUUGUUCUAACAUGUGAGUACCUAGGGGUGCUGCAUGCCGUUGUGUGGUUUGUGUACUGCAUAGUUGUACUCAGCCAAGGAAGUGGAUGAGGCCACAGCUUUAACAUGGGCUGCUGUCUGCCCAGAAGGAUAAUCUUUUCCUUAUUUUAUAUCUCAUUUCAGGGGUUCUCCAACUUCUGAAAUCCAUCCAGAAACUCCCUGUAUUUGGGUAACAGUAUUAUAACUUUUUGCACCAGGGCUUUUUUGUUUGUUUGUUAAUAUUAAUUGAUUUUUCUUAUGUUCUUUAUGAAAGAAUAACUCAUCCAUUAAUGAAACCAAAUGUGAACUUAGUGCCUUCUGUGUAGAAAAGGCUAGGAAUACAUAUUGUGGGAGAUUCAUUACAUCACUGGCCUUAAUACUACACCUUCUCAUGUUCCCCCUUGGCUGUGUAACUUUCUAGUGUCCAUAUGCUCUCUCUUGGGGUGGCCAGUGUGACUUGCUUUGGCCAAUGGGAUAUUAGCAACCAUGACAUAACCCGAGGCUUAUAAAGUUGCCUGCUCAUUGGGACUUGUUUCACUGUUGCAUCCCAGUUAUUCACAUCACUCCAGCUGACAGCCAACCAACAAACAGCCAGACACGUGAGCCCAACCAAGAUCAGAAGAACUGUCCCACUGAGCAUAGUCUAAAUUGCUAACAUGCAAAUGCAUGACCACAGCAAGGUAAUCUUACAGCCCAGGACUCAGCUGCUGCAAUCUCUGUGAAAGAUUUCUGCAGAUGCUGUGCUCAGGUCACUGAGUUUCCCAGUUGUCAGUGGUGAACUGGAGCGGAGGCAGAAGGAAACUCUUCAGACACACUGUUCCCUUCAGGAAACAAGGGACAAAAGGGCUGCCCUGAGGAGACUUGGGAAAGUGACAUUUCCUCAGGCUCGAGGACAUCCCGAGGUUCUGCUCAUGAAACAGAGACAACCAUGUGUGGUGCCUGCAUUCUUGGCCUGCGGGGAGUGGAAAGGAGACAAAGAGUAAAACACGGUGGGAAAGAAGAAAAAGAGGUUAAGAAAAGCAAAUGUGCCUACUCCAGGUAAUUUUGACUUAGGGACCCUGAUUAACUUACACACUAAUUAAACCAUUUCCAGAUUUUGUGCAGUCUGAAAGCAGCCCAUUUUCCCCAACACCAGGUCGCUCAAGAUGACCACAGGAAGGUUGUCAUCUUCAUGUCUAAAAGCCAGUUGACACUCAAGGGUGUCAUUUCACUUCAGUGAAAUGAGAAGCUUCACAGAUGUGUAGACUCUGAAAAAUCUAACUGGAAAACAAUACAGGGAAAUAGCAAUACUAGGCAUCAAAGCAGCAAAAAAACUACUCAAUUAUCUGAUAUGGGGAUUAUCAAUGGAAUAAAUGUGGGGUUUGUUGUUUGUUGUUGGGAUUGUUGUGGGUUUUGUUUCAUUUUUUAGGGUCUCACUUUUCUCCACCAAUUAGAUCUGUGCUGUGAGCCACACAGGUUUUGAGUACAUGUUUUGGGACUUUAUAUCGGUCAGACUUUGCCAUGGUAACACUGUGUAACGAGCAGCCCCAAAAAUCUCAGUGGUGGUCAAAAGCAAACCUUUAUUUCUCAUUCAUGGGUUUUCAGUUUGUUCAGGCUAAAAGUAAAAUACACAGAUUCUUCACCUGUCUUUCAUUCCAUGCUGAAGGAGCAAUUGACUGCCUGGGACAUACUUUUCUCAUAACAGAGGCAAGGGUGAAAAACACCAAGUCAUCUUGAUUAUGCAAUCCCAUUUUUAAUGUAAACAAUGUCAUGUCUGCUUCUAUUUCAUUGAGCAAAGCAAGUCAUAUAGGCAAGCCCAACAUCAGUGGGGUGAUAAAGCACACUCUCCAAUGGAAGGAGGAGGGGAGCAUGAUCAUUUGCUGAACAGUAAUGCAAGAUAGCACAAGACUUGUCUGGGGUGAGAGAGAGAUCAAAGCUGUGGAUCCCACCCAGUCUUCAACCAAAGCAAUGUGGCUUUGACCUGU